GCUUACGGCCAUACCACCCUGAGCACGCCCGAUCUCGUCUUUUCUCAGAAGCUAAGCAGGGUGGGGCCUGGUUAGUACUUGGAUGGGAGACUGCUUAGGAAUACCAGGUGCUGUAAGUU
ensembl:rRNA 5S_rRNA 5S ribosomal RNA